AGUUGAUUUGCCUGUGUCCCCAUAGAGGGGCUGGAAUUCCUUCUCUGAGGAGCAAUGGAUGCAAGCCUCCUUACCCUAUGAUUCUACAGAUGCCUUUGCCAGUUCCUCAGGCUGUGACCUCAAGUGUGAGUGAGGGAGAAGCUGCUGUCAAGGAGGCCACAUUGUCCAGCCACUCCCUCUCCACCAGGAAAGCCAUGAGCUUGGAUGUGCAUGUGCCCAGCCUGAGGCGGAGGCCCGUAGGAUUACCGACUGCUGGAGACUCCGAGAGCAGCGUAUGUGUGGAGUAUGAGCAGCAGACAUUUUCUGCCCAGAAGAGACCCAUGGGGCUGCUAGCUGCCUUAGAGUACAACGAGCAGAAGGCUGGGGCAUCUGAGGAGCAGGCACUCAGCUCCUCCACCCCAUCUCUCCGGUGUGAAAAGAGGCUGUCCGUUGAGCAAAGAGGAGGAAAGAAGAAAGUCAGGCUGGUCAACCAUCCGGAGGAACCAGUGGCUGGCACACAGGCAGGCAGAGCCAAGAUGUUCAUGGUGGCCGUGAAGCAAGCACUGAGCCAAGCUAACUUUGACACCUUUACCCAGGCCCUGCAGCACUAUAAGAGUUCUGAUGACUUUGAAGCCCUAGUGGCCUCUCUCACCUGCCUCUUUGCUGAAGACCCCAAGAAACACACCCUACUUAAAGGUACCCUGGUUUUCAAAAUUCUGCUAUAGGGUUAACACCACUGCAGUGGGGGUGGGACUGGUUAUAGGGCCCAGGGUUGACUGCUUUCC
rnacentral:lncRNA from 1 species